CUGGCGGCGUGCCUAAUACAUGCAAGUCGAACGGUCUUUCUAUGGAAGCUUGCUUCCACUGAGAAGAUAGUGGCGAACGGGUGAGUAACACGUGGGUAACCUGCCCAUAAGAGGGGGGAGUAACAUCCGGAAACGGGUGCUAAUACCGCAUAGUUUUCUUGAUCGCAUGAUCGGGAAAGGAAAGACGGCCUUUGUGCUGUCGCUUAUGGAUGGACCCGCGGCGUAUUAGUUAGUUGGUGAGGUAACGGCUCACCAAGACGAUGAUACGUAGCCGACCUGAGAGGGUGAUCGGCCACAUUGGGACUGAGACACGGCCCAAACUCCUACGGGAGGCAGCAGUAGGGAAUCUUCCGCAAUGGACGAAAGUCUGACGGAGCAACGCCGCGUGAGUGAAGAAAGGUUUUCGGAUCGUAAAACUCUGUUGUCAGAGAAGAACAAGUUGGAGAGUAACUGCUCCAGCCUUGACGGUAUCUGACCAGAAAGCCACGGCUAACUACGUGCCAGCCGCCGC
rnacentral:rRNA from 1 species